UUCCUAAACAAAAUAAGGACUUAUUACAAUGUGCAUCAUACAGACCAAUUUCACUUCUGAAUAAUGAUGUUAAGAUACUCUCCAAAAUCAUAGCUAGAAGGAUGGAGAAAGUGCUGCCUCCGGUAAUAUCACAAGAUCAAACUGGAUUUAUCAAGGGUCGACACUUAUCUUCCAAUCUUCGACGCCUGUUUAAUGUAAUAUACUCACCAACAAAAUCAAACACCCCAGAAAUAUUAUUAUCAUUGGAUGCAGAAAAA